rnacentral:rRNA from 1 species
GACGAACGCUGGCGGCGUGCUUAACACAUGCAAGUCGAACGGAAAGGCCCUGCUUUUGUGGGGUGCUCGAGUGGCGAACGGGUGAGUAACACGUGAGUAACCUGCCCUUGACUUUGGGAUAACUUCAGGAAACUGGGGCUAAUACCGGAUAGGAGCUCCUGCUGCAUGGUGGGGGUUGGAAAGUUUCGGCGGUUGGGGAUGGACUCGCGGCUUAUCAGCUUGUUGGUGGGGUAGUGGCUUACCAAGGCUUUGACGGGUAGCCGGCCUGAGAGGGUGACCGGCCAAAUGGGGACUGGGGUACGGCCCAGACUCCUACGGGAGGCAGGAGGGGGGAAUUUUGCAAAAGGGGCGGAAGCCGGAUGCAGCAACGCCGCGGGGGGGAUGGCGGCCUUCGGGUUGGAAACCGCUUUCGCCUGUGACGAAGCGUGGGUGACGGUAAUGGGUAAAGAAGCACCGGCUAACUACGU